UAACGUAGCGAAAGCUACGCUAAUACCGCAUACGCCCUGAGGGGGAAAGCGGGGGAUUCUUCGGAACCUCGCGCGAUUGGAGCGGCCGAUGUCGGAUUAGCUAGUAGGUGAGGUAAAGGCUCACCUAGGCGACGAUCCGUAGCGGGUCUGAGAGGAUGAUCCGCCACACUGGGACUGAGACACGGCCCAGACUCCUACGGGAGGCAGCAGUGGGGAAUUUUGGACAAUGGGCGCAAGCCUGAUCCAGCCAUGCCGCGUGAGUGAAGAAGGCCUUCGGGUUGUAAAGCUCUUUCGGCCGGGAAGAAAUCGUGGUCUCUAACAUAGGCCAUGGAUGACGGUACCGGACUAAGAAGCACCGGCUAACUACGUGCCAGCAGCCGCGGUAAUACGUAGGGUGCGAGCGUUAAUCGGAAUUACUGGGCGUAAAGCGUGCGCAGGCGGUUUUGUAAGACAGAUGUGAAAUCCCCCGGGCUUAACCUGGGAACUGCGUUUGUGACUGCAAGGCUAGAGUACGGCAGAGGGGGG
rnacentral:rRNA from 1 species